rnacentral:misc_RNA from 1 species
GGGAAGUAAAAGUCGUAACAAGGUCUCCGUUGGUGAACCAGCGGAGGGAUCAUUACAGAGUUCUAAAAGACUCCCAAAACCAUUGUGAACGUACCCGUCAGCGUUGCCUCGGCGGGCGGCCCCUCCCUGGGGCCGCUGCCUCCCUCGGGGGGUGCCCGCCGGCGUACCAAAACUCUUUUGUAUUUUAGUGGCCUCUCUGAGAAAACAAGCAAAUAAGUUAAAACUUUCAACAACGGAUCUCUUGGUUCUGGCAUCGAUGAAGAACGCAGCGAAAUGCGAUAAGUAAUGUGAAUUGCAGAAUUCAGUGAAUCAUCGAAUCUUUGAACGCACAUUGCGCCCGCCAGUACUCUGGCGGGCAUGCCUGUUCGAGCGUCAUUUCAACCCUCAAGCCCUGCUUGGUGUUGGGGCCCUACGGCUGCCGUAGGCCCUGAAAGCUAGUGGCGGGCUCGCUAUAACUCCGAGCGUAGUAGUAAAAUAUCUCGCUAGGGAGGUGUCGCGGGUUCCGGCCGUGAAAG